AUUUAAGCCACCGCAAGAGCAGCGGGCGGUGCACGGUAAAAGGGUGCGGCGAUCAGGGUGUAACUUCCCUUCUUCCCCAACGAAACCGUAAGAUAUCUCGCCGCCGUCCUCUCGGCUUCCGCCUCGACCAUGUCUGGAAGAAGGAAGACUAGGGAAGGGGAGCCCAAGGAGGACAACGUGACGCUUGGGCCGGCUGUGCGGGAAGGGGAGCAAGUAUUUGGUGUUGCUCACAUCUUUGCAUCAUUCAAUGACACAUUCAUUCAUGUAACAGAUUUAUCGGGGAGGGAAACAUUAGUUCGUAUCACAGGUCAAAGCUGCCAGGGAUGAAUCAUCCCCGUAUGCAGCAAAUGCUUGCAGCACAAGAUGUUGCACAGAGAUGCAAGGAACUUGGGAUUGCUGCUUUGCACAUUAAGUUGCGUGCUUCUGGUGGAAAUAAGACAAAAACACCCGGUCCUGGUGCUCAGUCUGCUCUCAGGGCACUUGCCCGCUCUGGCAUGAAAAUUGGCCGUAUUGGUAAGUUU